UGACGUGCGGCGGCGGCUUCGGCGAUUUCUGGAAGCCCAUUGCCAUCUUCACUUUGCCGGCUACCAUCGGAGGGAGAUUCUGGAGCUUGGGUUUCCGGACGACGGUUGUAAUUACUUGGGGCAUUUGAGGGAGAUUAGGAAUGUGGGCGGGGGUUCCGCUUUCUAUCAGAAUCCUAAGGCUAGGCUUGAUCUGGUCUCGAAAGAUGUCUAGUGGACCUUCCAUCUUUCUAUUUUGAAGACCAAAAAAAUCUACACUAUUCUUGUCUAGUGCAGGGUCUUAGCUUUUCUUGUUGCUUCUCAGAUUCUUUGGAUCAUCACAUUUUAUUCUACAGCUUGUCGUAGUCUCU